GGUGGCAUAGCUCAGGAGGUAGAGCACGCGGCCUAGGAAUCAGAAGGUUCCCGGUUUGAUUCCCGGCUCCUCCA